GGCCUCUGUUAUAUCCUUGAUUGUGUCAAAUGCGCUGCUUGGGAGUCAAUCAGCUUUCACAGUUCCCUCAUACGACCUGCAGACCGCUGCAGUCUAAAGAGGUUAAAGAGAAGGCGGCUCAAUGAGGAAGCUAACGUUGAAGACAUUUCAUCAACUGCACCUUCUGCAAGCCAACUCUGAUUCGAGGACUAAUUAGGGAUGAGUUGUUAUUUUGGGAUUUUAUAAACUGCAACAUGCAUACCUUAUAUUUUUGACACCUCUAUAACUAUGUUCAACGGUGGGUUUGACACUUCUAUAACUAUGCUCAACAGUGGGUUUAAUUGUAAUUGUGAGAAUAUGGUGAGAGAAUAUGAUAUUACACCUUUUAGUUAUACA